rnacentral:rRNA from 1 species
UACGGAGGGAGCUAGCGUUGUUCGGAAUUACUGGGCGUAAAGCGCGCGUAGGCGGCUUUGUAAGUUAGAGGUGAAAGCCCGGGGCUCAACUCCGGAACUGCCUUUAAGACUGCAUCGCUAGAAUCCGGGAGAGGUGAGUGGAAUUCCGAGUGUAGAGGUGAAAUUCGUAGAUAUUCGGAAGAACACCAGUGGCGAAGGCGGCUCACUGGACCGGUAUUGACGCUGAGGUGCGAAAGCGUGGGGAGCAAACAGG